CUGUGGGCACAGGAGUGAUGGGGCAUUCAGAGUUGGCAUACACGACAAACAGGACCUGCUAUGGUGAUUUCAGUGAGCUGGACUAAUGGAUCCACUGUUGUUUUGGCGAAAAUAUGGAUGGAGGAGAUGGAGAGGGAGCUGUGCAGGCAUAAGGAGAUGCCAGAGGUGACAUCAAAUGGGGUGAAGUUGACCGCUGGGAUGAAGUUGACCGAAAAAUUUUAAAAACAUUUUAUGUUAAAUAACUACACACCGGUGACGAAAAUUCUUUUAUUUUAGUUAUUAAAUUUGUUGUUAGAAAGUUCAUAAUUAGUGGCAAGGGCCAAAUGUAC